rnacentral:rRNA from 1 species
AACGAACGCUGGCGGCAUGCCUAACACAUGCAAGUCGAACGAGACCUUCGGGUCUUGUGGCGCACGGGUGCGUAACGCGUGGGAACCUGCCCUUAGGUUCGGAAUAACUUCCCGAAAGGGGUGCUCAUACCGGAUAAUUUCUUCUGACCAAAGAUUUAUCGCCUUUGGAUGGGCCCGCGUUGGAUUAGCUAGUUGGUAGGGUAAAAGCCUACCAAGGCGACGAUCCAUAGCUGGUCUGAGAGGAUGAUCAGCCACACUGGGACUGAGACACGGCCCAGACUCCUACGGGAGGCAGCAGUGGGGAAUAUUGGACAAUGGGCGAAAGCCUGAUCCAGCAAUGCCGCGUGAGUGAUGAAGGCCUUAGGGUUGUAAAGCUCUUUUACCCGGGAUGAUAAUGACAGUACCGGGAGAAUAAGCGCCGGCUAACUCCGUG